rnacentral:sRNA from 1 species
UAAGGUUACUUGUUUUAUAGUUUUAUGAAAUAACCCCUUGAUUCAGGCUUUUGAUACAUUAAGAUUUUAUAACGCACGAUAUGUGCAAGGAGGUUUCAUAUUAUGAAACAAGGUACUGUUAAAUGGUUCAACGCUGAUAAAGGUUACGGUUUUAUCACUACUGAAGACGGUGACGUAUUCGUUCACUUCUCAGCUAUCAACAAAGAAGGUUUCAAGACUCUAGAAGAAGGCGAAAAGGUUACAUUGGACGUUGAAGACGGCGACCGUGGACCACAAGCUGCUAACGUUACUCCUGCAUAAGGAUAACCUCUUAGUUAACUUUUAGUUUAAAAAGAGAUCAAAAGCACCCGAGAUUUUCUCGGGUGCUUUUUU